CUCAGAGCGAACGCUAGCGGCAGGCUUAACACAUGCAAGUCGAGCGGGAUGACUUCGGUCAUCCAGCGGCGCACGGGUGAGUAACACGUAGGUAACGUACCCUUUGGUGAGGAACAACCCAGGGAAACCUGGGCUAAUGCCACCUAUGUCCUUCGGGAUGAAAGUCGAAAGACGCCAGGGGAUCGGCCUGCGGCCCAUUAUCUAAUCCUAGUUGGUAAGGUAACGGCUUACCAAGGGUACGAUGGGUAGCUGGUCUGAGAGGAUGAUCAGCCACACUGGGACUGAGACACGGCCCAGACUCCUACGGGAGGCAGCAGUGGGGAAUAUUGCGCAAUGGGCGAAAGCCUGACGCAGCCAUGCCGCGUGAGUGAUGAAGGCCCUCGGGUCGUAAAGCUCUGUCGGGAGGGACGAAGGGUGGCAACACUCUGACGGUACCUCGCAAGAAAGCACCGGCUAACUCCGUG
rnacentral:rRNA from 1 species